rnacentral:rRNA from 1 species
GGCUCAGGAUGAACGCUAGCGGCAGGCUUAAUACAUGCAAGUCGUGGGGGCAGCAUGAGUAGUAAUACUUGAUGGCGACCGGCAAACGGGUGAGGAACACGUACACAACCUUCCUUCAAGCGGGGAAUAGCCCAGAGAAAUUUGGAUUAAUACCCCAUAAUAUAUUUGAUAAGGCAUCUUAUUAAUAUUAAAGCUUCGGCACUUGAUGAUGGGUGUGCGGCUGAUUAGAUAGUUGGCGGGGUAACGGCCCACCAAGUCUACGAUCAGUAGCUGAUGUGAGAGCAUGAUCAGCCACACGGGCACUGAGACACGGGCCCGACUCCUACGGGAGGCAGCAGUAAGGAAUAUUGGACAAUGGACGAAAGUCUGAUCCAGCCAUGCCGCGUGAAGGAUUAAGGUCCUCUGGAUUGUAAACUUCUUUUAUAUGGGACGAAAAAGGGCAUUCUUGUUCACUUGACGGUACCAUAUGAAUAAGCACCGGCUAACUCCGUG